UACGUAUGGAGCAAGCGUUAUCCGGAUUUAUUGGGUUUAAAGGGUGCGCAGGCGGCUUGUUAAGCGUGAGGUGAAAUGUCCCGGCUCAACCGGGGAACUGCCUCGCGAACUGGCUGGCUUGAAUGCCCCUGCCGUGGGAGGAAUGUGUGGUGUAGCGGUGAAAUGCAUAGAGAUCACACGGAACACCGAUUGCGAAGGCAUCUCACGAAGGGAUGAUUGACGCUGAGGCACGAAAGCGUGGGGAUCAAAC
rnacentral:rRNA from 1 species